UACAUGCAGUCGAGCGAACUGAUUAGAAGCUUGCUUCUAUGACGUUAGCGGCGGACGGGUGAGUAACACGUGGGCAACCUGCCUGUAAGACUGGGAUAACUUCGGGAAACCGAAGCUAAUACCGGAUAGGAUCUUCUCCUUCAUGGGAGAUGAUUGAAAGAUGGUUUCGGCUAUCACUUACAGAUGGGCCCGCGGUGCAUUAGCUAGUUGGUGAGGUAACGGCUCACCAAGGCAACGAUGCAUAGCCGACCUGAGAGGGUGAUCGGCCACACUGGGACUGAGACACGGCCCAGACUCCUACGGGAGGCAGCAGUAGGGAAUCUUCCGCAAUGGACGAAAGUCUGACGGAGCAACGCCGCGUGAGUGAUGAAGGCUUUCGGGUCGUAAAACUCUGUUGUUAGGGAAGAACAAGUACGAGAGUAACUGCUCGUACCUUGACGGUACCUAACCAGAAAGCCACGGCUAACUACGUGCCAGCAGCCGCGGUAAUACGUAGGUGGCAAGCGUUAUCCGGAAUUAUUGGGCGUAAAGCGCGCGCAGGCGGUUUCUUAAGUCUGAUGUGAAAGCCCACGGCUCAACCGUGGAGGGUCAUUGGAAACUGGGGAACUUGAGUGCAGAAGAGAAAAGCGGAAUUCCACGUGUAGCGGUGAAAUGCGUAGAGAUGUGGAGGAACACCAGUGGCGAAGGCGGCUUUUUGGUCUGUAACUGACGCUGAGGCGC
rnacentral:rRNA from 2 species